AUUUCAUCUUCACAUCUCCUUACUGAUAUAUUGGAGCUGGCUCUUGCAACAGAGAUGUGUAAUGGCUAUCCUUAAUUCUUUCUAACUCAGGUACCCUCUUACCAAUUAUACUUUUGGUACAAAAGAGCCCCUCUACGAGAAGGACAGCUCUGUUGCAGCCAGAUUUCAGCGCAUGAGGGAAGAAUUUGAUAAAAUUGGAAUGAGGAGGACUGUAGAAGGGGUUCUGAUUGUACAUGAGCACCGGCUACCCCAUGUGUUACUGCUGCAGCUGGGAACAACUUUCUUCAAACUACCUGGUGGUGAACUUAACCCAGGAGAAGAUGAAGUUGAAGGACUAAAACGCUUAAUGACAGAGAUACUGGGUCGUCAGGAUGGAGUUUUGCAA
rnacentral:lncRNA from 1 species